rnacentral:lncRNA from 1 species
GAUGGGCGUGGUCAUACCCGUGCCUAUCUUUACUUCCCUUUUUCCACUGCCAGUUCCCAAGUCUAUUAGUUCUGUCUCUUCUUGAUGAGGCCCCAUUUCUUGGUCCUCUUGGGCGACUAUCCUUUCCAACUCUGGGGUAAGUCCCACAUCCUCGUUCUCUUCAUCUUUUAUCUGAUUCGUUUCUUGCUCGAAGUCGAUGGGCGGGUCCCAGGUAUUAGUACCUUCGAGGGACUCGUCGUCGGAUCUAGCGUUUUAAACAUAAAGAAGUAAACAUGCAAAUGGAUGAGAAUGGGUAGAGACGCAGGAAUAGAUAAAGAAAG